ensembl:lncRNA
GUAAAUAAACAGACCGACAGGUAAAUAAACAGCCACGUCAAUAAACAGACAGACAGGUAAAUAAACACACAGGUAAAUAAACAGACAGGUAAAUAAACAGACAGACAGGUAAAUAAACAGACCGACAGGUAAAUAAACAGACAGGUCAAUAAACAGACAGACAGGUAAAUAAACACACAGGUAAAUGAUCAGACAGGUCAAUAAACAGACCGACAGGUAAAUAAACAGACCCAUCACUAAACAGACAGACAGGUAAAUAAACACACAGGUAAAUAAACAGACCGACAGGUAAAUAAACAGACAGGUCAAUAAACAGACAGACAGGUAAAUAAACUGACAGGUCAAUAAACAGACAGACAGGUAAAUAAACAGACAGGUAAAUAAACUGACAGGUCAAUAAACAGACAGACAGGUAAAUAAACACACAGGUAAAUAAACAGACAGGUCAAUAAACAGACAGACAGGUAAAUAAACAGACAGGUCAAUAAACAGACAGACAGGUAAAUAAACAGACAGGUCAAUAAACACACAGGUAAAUAAACAGACAGGUAAAUAAACAGACAGACAGGUAAAUAAACAGACAGGUCAAUAAACAGACAGACAGGUAAAUAAACAGACAGGUCAAUAAACUGACAGGUCAAUAAACAGACAGAUAGGUAAAUAAUCAGACAGACAGGUAAAUAAACACACAGGUAAAUAAACAGACAGGUAAAUAAACAGACCGACAGGUAAAUAAACAGACAGGUCAAUAAACAGACAGACAGGUCAAUAAACAGACAGACAGGUAAAUAAACAGACCGACAGGAAAUAAGCAGACAGAUCAAUAAACAGACAGACAGAUAAAUAAACACACAGGUAAACAAACAGACAGGUAAAUAAACAGACAGAUCAAUAAACAGAGAGACAGAUAAAUAAACACACAGGUAAACAAACAGACAGGUAAAUAAACAGACCAACAGGUAAAUAAACACACAGGUCAAUAAACAGACAGACAGGUAAAUAAACAGACAGAUCAAUAAACAGACAGACAGGUAAAUAAACAGACAGGUAAAUAAGCAGACAGAUCAAUAAACAGAGAGACAGGUAAAUAAACAGACAGGUAAAUAAACAGACAGACAGAUAAAUAAACAGACAGAUCAAUAAACAGACAGACAGAUAAAUAAACACAGGUAAACAAACAGACAGGUAAAUAAACAGACAGAUCAAUAAACAGAGAGACAGGUAAAUAAACAGACAGGUCAAUAAACAGACAGACAGGUAAAUAAACAGACAGGUAAAUAAACAGACAGGUCAAUAAACAGACAGGUAAACAAACAGACAGGUAAAUAAAAAGACAGAUCAAUAAACAGAGAGACAGGUAAAUAAACAGAUAAGUAAAUAAACAGACAGGUCAAUAAACAGACAGACAGGUAAAUAAACAGACAGGUAAAUAAACAUACAGGUAAACAAACAGACAGGUAAAUAAAAAGACAGAUCAAUAAACAGAGAGACAGUUAAAUAAACAGAUAAGUAAAUAAACAGACAGAUCAAUAAACAGACAGACAGAUAAAUAAACACACAGGUAAAUAAACAGACAGAUAGACAUACAGACAGACAGGUAAAUAAACAGACAGACAUACAGACAGACAGGUAAAUAAACAGACAGAU